rnacentral:rRNA from 1 species
ACGUAGGGUGCGAGCGUUAAUCGGAAUUACUGGGCGUAAAGCGUGCGCAGGCGGUUUUGUAAGCCAGAUGUGAAAGCCCCGGGCUUAACCUGGGAACUGCAUUCAAAACUGUCGAGCUAGAGUAUGGUAGAGGGUGGUGGAAUUUCCUGUGUAGCGGUGAAAUGCGUAGAUAUAGGAAGGAACACCAGAGGCGAAGGCGACCACCUGGACUGAUACU